rnacentral:siRNA from 1 species
UGAGUUUUCUUUAAGUUGGGCCUC